GACGAACGCUGGCGGCGUGCUUAACACAUGCAAGUCGAACGGAAAGGCCCUGCUUUUGUGGGGUGCUCGAGUGGCGAACGGGUGAGUAACACGUGAGUAACCUGCCCUUGACUUUGGGAUAACUUCAGGAAACUGGGGCUAAUACCGGAUAUGAGCUCCUGCUGCAUGGUGGGGGUUGGAAAGUUUCGGCGGUUGGGGAUGGACUCGCGGCUUAUCAGCUUGUUGGUGGGGUAGUGGCUUACCAAGGCUUUGACGGGUAGCCGGCCUGAGAGGGUGACCGGCCACAUUGGGACUGAGAUGCGGCCCAGCCUCCUACGGGAGGCAGCAGUGGGGAAUAUUGCACAAUGGGCGGAAGCCUGAUGCAGCAACGCCGCGUGCGGGAUGACGGCCUUCGGGUUGUAAACCGCUUUCGCCUGUGACGAAGCGUGAGUGACGGUAAUGGGUAAAGAAGCACCGGCUAACUACGUG
rnacentral:rRNA from 1 species